GCGUUGAAGGAGGAGCCAGAAUCAAAUCUUAUUGUUGGUGGGGUAAUGGCCUACCAAGGCGACGACGGGUAGCCGGCCUGAGAGGGCGACCGGCCACACUGGGACUGAGACACGGCCCAGACUAAUACGGGAGGCAGCAGUGGGGAAUAUUGCACAAUGGGCGAAAGCCUGAUGCAGCGACGCCGCGUGAGGGAUGACGGCCUUCGGGUUGUAAACCUCUUUCAGCAGGGAAGAAGCGAAAGUGACGGUACCUGCAGAAGAAGCGCCGGCUAACUACGUGCCAGCAGCCGCGGUAAUACGUAGGGCGCAAGCGUUGUCCGGAAUUAUUGGGCGUAAAGAGCUCGUAGGCGGCUUGUCACGUCGGAUGUGAAAGCCCGGGGCUUAACCCCGGGUUCUGCAUUCGAUACGGGCUAGCUAGAGUGUGGUAGGGGAGAUYGGAAUUNCCUGGUGUAGCGRUGAAAUGCGCAGAUAUCAGGAGGAACACCGGUGGCGAAGGCGGAUCUCUGGGCCAUUACUGACGCUGAGGAGCGAAAGCGUGGGGAGCGAACAGGAUUAGAUACCCUGGUAGUCCACGCCGUAAACGUUGGGAACUAGGUGUUGGCGACAUUCCACGUCGUCGGUGCCGCAGCUAACGCAUUAAGUUCCCCGCCUGGGGAGUACGGCCGCAAGGCUAAAACUCAAAGGAAUUGACGGGGGGCCCGCACAAGCAGCGGAGCAUUGUGGCUUAAUUCGACGCAACGCGAAGGAACCUUACCAAGGCUUGACAUAUACCGGAAAGCAUCAAGAGAUGGGUGCCCCCCCUUUGUGGUCGGGUAUACAGGUGGUGCAUGGCUGUCGUCCAGCCUACGRURSSMMKAMGWUSMGKKGUUKMGYCSGGSGUYUMSCRYGSMKKURAWSWGYGKYNKMSRGSWYKYYRKUSGMRSAGAUGGGGAUCACACUCGACUGCCGGCUUCACCUCGGUCGAAGGUGGCGAGCUGACGAGGAUCAUGCACCUUAUGUCUUGGGCUGCACACGUGCUACAAUGGCCGGUACAAUGAGCUGCGAUGCCGCGAGGCGGAGCGAAUCUCAAAAAGCCGGUCUCAGUUCGGAUUGGGGUCUGCAACUCGACCCCAUGAAGUCGGAGUUGCUAGUAAUCGCAGAUCAGCAUUGCUGCGGUGAAUACGUUCCCGGGCCUUGUACACACCGCCCGUCACGUCACGAAAGUCGGUAACACCCGAAGCCGGUGGCCCAACCCCUUGUGGGAGGGAGCUGUCGAAGGUGGGACUGGCGAUUGGGACGAAGUCGUAACAAGGUAGCCGUACCGGAAGGUGC
rnacentral:rRNA from 1 species